rnacentral:SRP_RNA from 1 species
ACUGAGGGUGCACAUCUGUAGUCCCUGCUACUCAGGAGGUUGAAGAUAGACAGGAGGAUCGCUUGAGUCCAGGAGUUCUGGGCUAUGUGCGCUAUGCCGAUCGGGUGCCUGCACUAAGUUCAGCAUCAAUAUGGUGACCUUGGGAGCAGGGAACCACCAGGUUGCCUAAGGAGGGGUGAACUGGUUCAUGUCAGAAACAGAAUUACCCUUGGAACUGUAGUGAACUGUCCAACAGGGAAACACACACAGCAAGGAUUAGGGUUGUAACUCUG